rnacentral:rRNA from 1 species
GAUGAACGCUGGCGGCGUGCCUAAUACAUGCAAGUCGAGCGAACAGACGAGGAGCUUGCUCCUCUGACGUUAGCGGCGGACGGGUGAGUAACACGUGGAUAACCUACCUAUAAGACUGGGAUAACUUCGGGAAACCGGAGCUAAUACCGGAUAAUAUAUUGAACCGCAUGGUUCAAUAGUGAAAGACGGUUUUGCUGUCACUUAUAGAUGGAUCCGCGCCGCAUUAGCUAGUUGGUAAGGUAACGGCUUACCAAGGCGACGAUGCGUAGCCGACCUGAGAGGGUGAUAGGCCACACGGGAACUGAGACACGGUCCAGACUCCUAAGGGAGGCAGCAGUAGGGAAUCGUCCGCAAUGGGCGAAAGCCUGACGGAGCAACGCCGCGUGAGUGAUGAAGGUCUUCGGAUCGUAAAACUCUGUUAUUAGGGAAGAACAAAUGUGUAAGUAACUAUGCACGUCUUGACGGUACCUAAUCAGAAAGCCACGGCUAACUACGUG